rnacentral:rRNA from 1 species
GGAGGGAUCAUUAAAGAGUUCUAUAACUCCCAAACCCAUGUGAACAUACCUAACGUUGCCUCGGCAGGUCGCACCUACCUUGUAGCACCCUACCCUGUAGGGCCUACCCGGGAGGUGCGGGUAAGCCUGCCGGCGGCCCACCAAACUCUGUUUGAUAUUGAAUUCUGAACCUAUAACUAAAUAAGUUAAAACUUUCAACAACGGAUCUCUUGGUUCUGGCAUCGAUGAAGAACGCAGCGAAAUGCGAUAAGUAAUGUGAAUUGCAGAAUUCAGUGAAUCAUCGAAUCUUUGAACGCAUAUUGCGCCCAUUAGUAUUCUAGUGGGCAGGACCGUUCGAGCGUCAUUUCAACCCUUAAGCCUUUGUUGCUUAGUGUUGGGAGCCUACGGCAACGUAGCUCCUCAAAGUUAGUGGCGGAGUUGGUUCACACUCUAGACGUAGUAAUUUUUUAUCUCGCCUAUUAGUUGGACUAAUCCCCUGCCGUAAAACCCCCAAUUUAUCAAGGUUGACCUCGAAUCGGUUCAGACAAACUCGCUAAAUUGAAGCAUCUUAGUCAGCGAAGGAAAAGAAACCAACAGGGAUUGCCCUAGUAACGGCGAGUGAAGCGGCAACAGCUCAAAUUUGAAAUCUGGCCCUCGGGUCCGA